GUGAAAACUUAAGUAAUGACUGCUUGUCUGAUCAUCACACUUGUGAUUCUUAAUCUGAUACUUCCUUGAGAAUCUUUGGCCACAAACUGCGCAGGCAAAAGGUUUCACACCAGUGUGGGUUCUUGUGUGUGUUUUUAAGUUUCCCUUAUGAGAGAAUCUUUGGCCACAAACUGCGCAGGCAAAAGGUUUCUCAUCAGUGUGGGUUCUUGUGUGUAUUCUUAAGUUUGCCUUCUCAGAAAAUCUUUGGCCACAAACUGUGCAGGGAAAAGGUUUCUCACCAGUGUGGGUUCUUGUGUGACAUGUUAAGUUUCCCUUACAAGAGAAUAUUUGGCCACACACUGCGCAGGUAAACGGUUUCUCACCAGAGUGGGUUCUUUUGUGACUUUUUAAGCUUGCCUUACAAGAGAAUUUCCGGCCACAGUUUGAACAGGUGAACGGUUUUGCACCAGUGUGUGUUCUGAUGUGGAAUUCCAAAGCACUUUUACAAGCAUACAUUUUCCCACAGUGAGAACAUUUCCAGGGUUUGUUGUCUGUGUUCCAUGUCAGAUCACCUUCAGAGCCAU